ACUUGUUCUGGUAUGGACGGUUUGUGGAGUUCGUGGACAAAGGUUCCUGCUGGAACUUCUGCACGAGUUGAGCCCAUUUUUGAUAGUACGUCGGCGGCUAUGUUGUUGUCGUGGAUGAUAUGGUGAAAUUCCAAGCCUGAGAACUUGUUUUCCAGUUUGCGGACUUCUUUGCAGUAAGCGUCCAUGUUGUCCUUGUUUCGAUCCCAUUCGUCAUUGACUUGGUUUAUAACGACUAGUGAGUCGCCGUAUACCAAUAGUCUUUUGAUGCCGAGGGAAAUUGCAAGGCGAAGGCCGUGUAGCAGUGCUUCGUACUCG
rnacentral:lncRNA from 1 species